GGGCCGCACCCACGGCAUAUGGAGGUUCCCAGGCUAGGGGUCCAAUCGGAGCUGAAGCCACUGGCCUAUGUCACAGCCACAGCAACAUCAGAUCCGAGUCACAUCUGCUGACCUACACCAUAGCUCACAGCAAUGCUGGAUCCAUCACCCACUGAGGGAGGCCUGGGAUGGAACCUGUGUCCUCAUAUAUACUAGUCAGAUUUGUUUCCACUGAGCCACGACGGGAACUCCUGGUCUAUAUGAUAUGUCAGCUCUGCAGUGGAUAACUAACUCCUUGAAAAGUUCCUGUCUAAAAGACACUAAAAACUAUAAUCAAUUUUUAAAAAUGUUUUUUCUCACAGUAUUUUUAGUGUAUUGAGAUUAUAUUUUUAAAAAAACCUCACUAAUAGUAUAUUUUCCCUCUUCAAGCAGAUCUCUCAAAUGCUAAACGAGUUGUAAGCUGAUUUGUAACCCUCCUCAUUUGGUCUAUUUUAUAUUAAUGUUUAAUAUUUAAAAUACUAAUUUUUUAGGAUCUAUAGCCUAAUUCCAGGAGAAAAAAAAUGAUCAAUAUAUAAAAUUACUACCUUGAAUUCAAUCACUGCUGAGACUUAGUUUAUUCAAUAGAUAUUCUUCUCCUUGGCUCCUGUGGAACCUGAGUAAUCUGGAUAUAUAAGAACCCAAAUAUACCAGACCCUGCCUCAGCUGACCCGCUGUAACUGAGACCCUUCAGCCCCACUGUGUGUUGCCUCUGCCUGGAAAUGCAGCUUCCAGCCCACCUCUACCUCCUCACCUGUCUCUCUUCUCCCACUUCAUGCCUCCCUGUCAUUCAAGCCUCAGACUUAAGGCUUGAUUAGCCUGGCUUAACCAGCCAUCCUGGUAGGCAGGACACAACUACAGGCAUUUCCACUGUAGUAGAUCCUUAAAAGAAACAAAGAGAAGCAUCAAACAGUAACUUAUUUUCUAAGCAGGUAUUAUAUUUUCAAAAUUUCUUAUGACUUCUUGGAUUCCUUUCCAUUUUUUCCUAGUCUUUUCACUUCAGUUUGCACAUUUUUAAAUAUCCUCAAAAUAGCUUAUCUUGAAAUCUUGCUUCCCAUUUGGUAGAGAACCCAGAAGGAGAAUGGUGCCUUUCUGAAAAGCCAAAUAACUCUGUGUCAUAUCGUAACAAACAAAACCUUUACUUGGGAGCAAAGUAUCACCAUAGUUAAAUACUCCCCAGAUGCCUGCUCUACUACCAGAGUGUAAACAGAUAUUUCCCAGUCUGUAUUUACCUCUUCAAAAUGCAGCCCUUUAAAAUACACUCUCUCACACACACACACACACACACACACACACACACACACACACACAGCACUGAGGUUCUCAACUCUUAAUUUUGGUUUCCCGCCCCCCACCCCCUGUUUAGGGAGACUAAUGGGCAUUAGAACCCGACCUAUUAUCCUGGAAACUUGAUUGAUUGGCCAGACUUCAUAGAAACACACCUGGCCUGCGAGGGGGAGGUCCCCAUUGGUGGGAGCAUUACUGCUCCCUAGGGGCUUCCAGUGAGGAACAUGCAAUAGCAAGAAACAAGAAGAAAAGCUUAAACAUCUCUACGAGUAGAAUCCAGUAUGGGGACCAUCUCGGAGUGUCUAAAUUUACUCCAUCCUUGGAACUUUCCAGGGCUUCCUUGGAAGAAGUGCAGCCAUCAUGUUCCACCUGGCACUGCUGUACAGACUGGUGCACAAGGGUGAACAAAAGCAGUAUGGCCCCAGCCUCCCAGAGCUUAGCUUCAGUGGGGAAACAUAGUAUACACAUACUCUCAAAAACAAAUAUAUGAGCAGAAAUUUGGUUCCAGAAAGUUCCAGAAAGAAAAAGUUCUGUUUGCAUGGGAAUGUAACUGGGUGACUUGGUUUAGAUUUGAGGAGUCAGAAAAAGCCCCAGUAAGGAAAUGUGGGGGUACUUGGGGCAGGCACAUAUAUAAAGCCCCAAGGGUCUGUGAGAGCUCAGUCAACUGCAGAGACUAAAGAAACGUCAGUGGGCAGAAAUGUCUGGAUCAUCAUGGGCGAAUAUUUUUCUCAGGAGAAGAUCAACAGUGAUGGUUUUACAAACCUAACAACUUUUAUUUGUUUAUUUAUUUAUUUGUAUUUUUAGGGCUGCACCCGAAGCAUAUGGAAUUUCCCAGGCUAGGGGUCCAAUUGGAGCUCCAGCUGCCAGUCUACACCACAGGCACAGCAAGGCCAGAUCCGAGCCACAUCUGCGACCUACACCACAGCUCACAGCAAUGCCAGAUCCUUAACCCACUGAGCCAGGCCAGGGAUCAAACCUGCAUCCCUCAUGGAUCCUAGUCAGGUUCCUUUCCACUGAGCCAUAAUAGGAACUCCAAACCUAACAGCUUUGAAGUUACUUCUUUGAAGAUAAAAUUUGACAAUGCAAUAAAAUUACCACUUGGUUAGGGGGGUGAUCUAAAAAUAUUCAUUAGGGAUUCAGUUCAACCAUACACAAAAGAGAAGCUAACAACAGUGACUAACACUGUAGUGAGGUUUCUUGUUCUCAGUUACUGGUUGUUUGGUGGCUCAAGGUCUCUGUGAUUCUUGGCUUUUCCUACUUGGAUUCCAGUCACUACCGCAACCUUCUAGGCAGGGACAGGAGUGAUGUGCAUAUCAGGAAAGCAAAACUUUAGAGCUUGUCAGUAGACUUCUCAUAAAUUUUAUUGGUCAAAACACUGUAAUGUGGCCAAUCCAAGUUGCCAGAGAAGAUGGGAAGUGUUUUUAAGCUGGGCAUCAAAAUUGGGUUCUGUAAUUAAGGAAAUAAGGGAAGAUGGAUAUUGGAUGGACAAUUACUUAUCUUUGCAACCAAUGUUUUUUUUUUUUCUGCCUACUCUGUAGGUGGAAAUGCUUUUUUCUACUCCUAUGCAAAAUUUGUCAUGAGUUUCAAUAAAUUAUGACUUUGAGGCAUGUGUUUAUUAUUCUUUCAUUAUUCUGUAUGGUCCCCAAUAGUCCAAGGGAGUCUGUUGAGUAUUAAGUGCACUUCAACCAAAAUGAAUCUUCUCCGAUGAAUCAUUUGAUUAACAAUUUGUGUUUAACAUGGAUUUGUUUCCUUUAGAGUUGGGUUUUGUCCCAGUCCCUAAAACCAGAGCAUCAUUAUCUGUUCUGCUCCCCUGUUAAAGGCAGACAGCCAUGUAUUGGUUUCUGAAGCCUGCCUGCUGUGGUUCGGGAAUAAAAGAAAACAAACUUUCAGAAUGAUUUUAUCCAGCCAAGAUGCAUGCCAUUUUCAGAUCGGCUAUUGCAUUUAUAUUUUAGAACUGUAGAUAGACUUUUCCCAUCAGUAUUUUCUGAGAUCUUUGUUUAAUUGAACAUCACAUUGGGUUGAACUUAGGGAGCCAAGAAGAUGAUCAAAUCUGAGAGAUAGAAGGCAUGAAGGGGCCAUAUCUCCAACAGACAUGUGGAACCACAACAUAUCCGCAUUGUGUUAAUUCAUCCAUGGUUGGGGUACACAGUUCUGUGUAGGUUUUGGUACAUUUUGUAUGGACAGUGCUUUAGCCAGCCUAUAUAAUGGCCUCUGUUUAUCUCUACAUUUUGGUAUUCUUACAUUCUAUCAGGAUUGAUAUCUGUGACCAAUAACAUAAAUACUAUUGGCUUAGGUCAUAAAAGAUAUUGCAACUUCUGUCUUGCUCUCUCUCAGAACUCUCAUUCUGAAAGAAGCUAGCUGCCAUGCUGUAAGGACACUCAACAGCCCUAUGAAGAGACUCACAUGAUGAGUUUAAAGACUAAUGCUAAUAGCCAGUAAGGAACUAGGAUCUUCUGCCAUCAGCCAUGUGAGUGAGCUGUCUUGGAAGCGGAUCCCCCAGCUCUCAUUAAGCCUUACGAAUGCAAGACGCCUAGGUCAACAUCAUGAGAGACCCUGAGCUAGGAUGACCCAGCUGCUCCUAUAUUCCUGACUCAUGGAAACUGUGAAGUAAUAAUUGUUUGUGGUUUUAAGCUACUAACUUUGGGGAUAAGUUAAUUUGCAGCAAUAGGUAAUAUAUCACAUAUUUUUGCUUUAUACUCUGGGGUCAUCAUGGUACUGAUGAGUGGUGGCUUGGCCCAAGCAUGCGCAUAGAUCGUGAAGUUAACACUCUUGACGAUGAUCAUUGACUAACGAGAUGGAAGCUGACGGAUAUAUGGACCUGCUGCCUAUAUCUUUCAGAAGAUGGUUCUGGAAGCCAUUAGGUGGAUUUCUCUGGUGGUCCUUGAGAAGAAUCAAGCCCUUGGUUCCUGAAAUCAUGUAUUCCUCUCCUUUUCUUCUUCUUUUUAAUUUUUUCAUUUUCUUUUUUUCCCCUCUUUUGUUUUCUUUUUUUGGGUUGCCUCCACAGCAUAUGGAAGUUCCCAGGCCAGAAGCUGGAGCUGCAACCUCCAUCACAGCUGCAGCAAAACAGGAUGCUUAACCCCCUGUGCCACACUGGGAACUCCUCCCCUCCUUUGUUGUCUUACUUUUCCUGAUCUCUCUCUCCUGCUUCCUAGGACCGCCUCCCAGAUCAUCUAUCUGCACACAAGCCCUGGUAUGGGGCUCUUGCUUCAGGGAAACCCAAGCUAGGACAAGGAGGGUGUGAAUAAAUACCACAUGCCCCCAGGACUGUCCUCAAUGAGAGUGUACAUUUGACUUAGUGGAUGAGAGCAGCAGCUUAGCCUAGCUUGAAUGGAAUGUACAAAUAAGAAGCUUAUUUUAUUGGAGGACUUCUUUAGCAGUCUAAUGAUAAAUUCUUGUUUCUUUUUCUUCAUUUAAAAAAAAAAAAAAAAAAA
rnacentral:lncRNA from 1 species